rnacentral:snRNA from 1 species
GGAUAUGGGGACAGUGUGGCUGUGACAGCUGUCACCACACUGAUGGCCAGAUCAGGUUGGCUGAUCCGCUAGGCUGGGCGGUGUCCCCUCACCACUGCAGGCAGCUCCUGCAGCUUGGUUAACGAGGGCGACUUUGCCCAGGAGAGGAAGGCUGCGCUUCUAUGCUAGAGCCUACGAGAAGGCCUGUGCCCUGGUGGUCAGCUGCAUGUGUGCAGCACUCAGUCCUGAAAGGCUGCCUCGCAGCCUGGAUUG